ACUCCUACGGGAGGCAGCAGUGGGGAAUAUUGCACAAUGGGCGCAAGCCUGAUGCAGCCAUGCCGCGUGUAUGAAGAAGGCCUUCGGGUUGUAAAGUACUUUCAGCAGUGAGGAAGGUGGAUUGCGUUAAUAGCGUUAAUUCAUUUGACGUUAGCUGCAGAAGAAGCACCGGCUAACUCCGUGCCAGCAGCCGCGGUAAUACGGAGGGUGCGAGCGUUAAUCGGAAUUACUGGGCGUAAAGCGCAUGCAGGUGGUUUGUUAAGUCAGAUGUGAAAGCCCGGGGCUCAACCUCGGAAUAGCAUUUGAAACUGGCAGACUAGAGUACUGUAGAGGGGGUAGAAUUUCAGGUGUAGCGGUGAAAUGCGUAGAGAUCUGAAGGAAUACCGGUGGCGAAGGCGGCCCCCUGGACAGAUACUGACACUCAGAUGCGAAAGCGUGGGGAGCAAACAGGAUUAGAUACCCUGGUAGCUACG
rnacentral:rRNA from 1 species